AUACCCGCUGAACUUAAGCAUUUCAAUAAGGGGAGGAAAAGAAACCUACAGGGAUUGCCUCAGUAACGGCGAGUGAAGCGGCAAAAGCUCAAAUUUGAAAUCUGGCCCCUUCGGGGUCCGAGUUGUAAUUUGUAGAGGAGAUUUCGGGCGCGGCGCCGGUCUAAGUCCCUUGGAACAGGGCGUCAUAGAGGGUGAGAAUCCCGUAUGUGACUGGCGACCAACCCCAUGUGAAACCCCUUCGACGAGUCGAGUUGUUUGGGAAUGCAGCUCAAAAUGGGAGGUAAAUUUCUUCUAAAGCUAAAUACCGGCCAGAGACCGAUAGCGCACAAGUAGAGUGAUCGAAAGAUGAAAAGCACUUUGGAAAGAGAGUCAAACAGUACGUGAAAUUGUUGAAAGGGAAGCGCUUGCAACCAGACCUGUCCGUGGGCGAUCAACCUCUGUUCUCAGGGGUGCACUCGUCCACGAUCAGGCCAGCAUCGGUUUGGGCGGUUGGAUAAAGGCCUUGGGAACGUAACUCCCCUCGGGGAGUGUUAUAGCCCUCGGCGCCAUGCGGCCAGCCCGGACCGAGGACCGCGCUUCGGCUAGGAUGCUGGCGUAAUGGUUGUAAGCGACCCGUCUUGAAACACGGACCAAGGAGUUGACUAUCGAUGCGAGUGUUUGGGUGUCAAACCCAUACGCGUAAUGAAAGUGAACGGAGGUGAGAACCCUUAAGGGCGCAUCAUCGACCGAUCCAGAUGUCUUCGGAUGGAUUUGAGUACGAGCAUCGCUAGUCUGACCCGAAAGAUGGUGAUCUAUACUUGAAUAGGGUGAAGCCAGAGGAAACUCUGGUGGAGGCUCGCAGCGGUUCUGACGUGCAAAUCGAUCGUCAAAUUUGAGUAUAGGGGUAAGUCCCCCUUAUUUCCUCCCCUGUAACCUUUGACUACUGUGAUASCASCUAACUGAAUUCUAGGCGAAAGACUAAUCGAACCAUCUAGUAACUGGUU
rnacentral:rRNA from 1 species